GCAAGUCGAGGGGUAGAGUUAGCUUGCUAGCUUGAGACCGGCGCACGGGUGCGUAACGCGUAUGCAACCUACCUUAAUCAGGGGGAUAGCCCGAAGAAAUUCGGAUUAACACCGCAUAAAAUCACAGAAUAGCAUUAUUCAAUGAUCAAAUAUUUAUAGGAUUAAGAUGGGCAUGCGUGUCAUUAGCUAGUUGGCGGGGUAACGGCCCACCAAGGCGACGAUGACUAGGGGAUCUGAGAGGAUGACCCCCCACACUGGUACUGAGACACGGACCAGACUCCUACGGGAGGCAGCAGUAAGGAAUAUUGGUCAAUGGAGGCAACUCUGAACCAGCCAUGCCGCGUGCAGGAAGACUGCCCUAUGGGUUGUAAACUGCUUUUAUCUGGGAAUAAACCUAUUUACGUGUAGAUAGCUGAAUGUACCAGAAGAAUAAGGAUCGGCUAACUCCGUGCCAGCAGCCGCGGUAAUACGGAGGAUCCAAGCGUUAUCCGGAUUUAUUGGGUUUAAAGGGUGCGUAGGCGGCCUGUUAAGUCAGAGGUGAAAGACGGUAGCUCAACUAUCGCAGUGCCUUUGAUACUGAUGGGCUUGAAUGGACUAGAGGUAGGCGGAAUGAGACAAGUAGCGGUGAAAUGCAUAGAUAUGUCUCAGAACACCGAUUGCGAAGGCAGCUUACUAUGGUUUUAUUGACGCUGAGGCACGAAAGCGUGGGGAUCAAACAGGAUUAGAUACCCUGGUAGUCCACGCCCUAAACGAUGAACACUCGCUGUUGGCGAUACACAGUCAGCGGCUAAGCG
rnacentral:rRNA from 1 species